rnacentral:rRNA from 1 species
UCCAGACUCCUACGGGAGGCAGCAGUGGGGAAUAUUGCACAAUGGGGGAAACCCUGAUGCAGCGACGCCGCGUGGGUGAAGGAGUGCUUCGGCAUGUAAAGCCCUAUCGGCAGGGAAGAAGCAAGACGGUACCUGACUAAGAAGCCCCGGCUAACUACGUGCCAGCAGCCGCGGUAAUACGUAGGGGGCAAGCGUUAUCCGGAUUUACUGGGUGUAAAGGGAGCGUAGACGGCGAUGCAAGUCUGAAGUGAAAGGCGGGGGCCCAACCCCCGGACUGCUUUGGAAACUGUAUAGCUGGAGUGCAGGAGAGGUAAGUGGAAUUCCUAGUGUAGCGGUGAAAUGCGUAGAUAUUAGGAGGAACACCAGUGGCGAAGGCGGCUUACUGGACUGUAACUGACGUUGAGGCUCGAAAGCGUGGGGAGCAAACAGGAUUAGAUACCCUCGUA